AACGAACGCUGGCGGCAGGCUUAACACAUGCAAGUCGAACGCCCCGCAAGGGGAGUGGCAGACGGGUGAGUAACGCGUGGGAACGUGCCCUUCGCUUCGGAAUAGCCCCGGGAAACUGGGAGUAAUACCGGAUACGCCGUAUUGGGAAAGAUUUAUCGGCGAAGGAUCGGCCCGCGUUAGAUUAGCUAGUUGGCGGUGUAAUGGACCACCAAGGCUACGAUCUAUAGCUGGUCUGAGAGGAUGAUCAGCCACACUGGGACUGAGACACGGCCCAGACUCCUACGGGAGGCAGCAGUGGGGAAUCUUGGACAAUGGGCGCAAGCCUGAUCCAGCCAUGCCGCGUGAGUGAAGAAGGCCUUAGGGUUGUAAAACUCUUUCGCCGGAGAAGAUAAUGACGGUAUCCGGAGAAGAAGCCCCGGCUAACUUCGUGCCAGCAGCCGCCGCGGUAA
rnacentral:rRNA from 1 species